CCUUAGUUACCAGCACGUUAUGGUGGGCACUCUAAGGAGACUGCCGGUGACAACCGGAGGAAGGUGGGGAUGACGUCAAGUCAUCCAUGGCCCUUACGGCCUGGGCUACACACGUGCUACAAUGGUCGGUACAAAGGGUUGCCAAGCCGCGAGGUGGAGCUAAUCCCAUAAAACCGAUCGUAGUCCGGAUCGCAGUCUGCAACUCGACUGCGUGAAGUCGGAAUCGCUAGUAAUCGUGAAUCAGAAUGUCACGGUGAAUACGUUCCCGGGCCUU
rnacentral:rRNA from 1 species